rnacentral:rRNA from 1 species
AGCGGCGGACGGGUGAGUAAUGCCAUANNAAUCUGCCUGGUANUGGGGGACAACGUUUCUAAAGGAACGCUAAUACCNCAUACNUCCUNACGGGAGAAAGCAGGGGACCUUCGGGCCUUGCGCUAUCAGAUGAGCCUAGGUCGGAUUANCUAGUUGGUGNGGUAAUGGCUCACCAAGGCGACGAUCCGUAACUGGUCUGAGAGGAUGAUCAGUCACACUGGAACUGAGACACGGUCCAGACUCCUACGGGAGGCAGCAGUGGGGAAUAUUGGACAAUGGGCGAAAGCCUGAUCCAGCCAUGCCGCGUGUGUGAAGAAGGUCUUCGGAUUGUAAAGCACUUUAAGUUGGGAGGAAGGGCAGUAAGCGAAUACCUUGCUGUUUUGACGUUACCGACAGAAUAAGCACCGGCUAACUCUGUGCCAGCAGCCGCGGUAAUACAGAGGGUGCAAGCGUUAAUCGGAAUUACUGGGCGUAAAGCGCGCGUAGGUGGUUUGUUAAGUUGGAUGUGAAAGCCCCGGGCUCAACCUGGGAACUGCAUCCAAAACUGGCAAGCUAGAGUACAGUAGAGGGUGGUGGAAUUUCCUGUGUAGCGGUGAAAUGCGUAGAUAUAGGAAGGAACACCAGUGGCGAAGGCGACCACCUGGACUGAUACUGACACUGAGGUGCGAAAGCGUGGGGAGCAAACAGGAUUA